AUUGAACGCUGGCGGCAGGCCUAACACAUGCAAGUCGAACGGUAACAGGAAGCAGCUUGCUGCUUCGCUGACGAGUGGCGGACGGGUGAGUAAUGUCUGGGAAGCUGCCUGAUGGAGGGGGAUAACUACUGGAAACGGUAGCUAAUACCGCAUAAUGUCGCAAGACCAAAGAGGGGGACCUUCUGGCCUCUUGCCAUCGUAUGUGCCCAGAUGGGAUUAGCUUGUUGGUGGGGUAACGGCGCACCAAGGCGACGAUCCCUAGCUGGUCUGAGAGGAUGACCAGCCACACUGGAACUGAGACACGGUCCAGACUCCUACGGGAGGCAGCAGUGGGGAAUAUUGCACAAUGGGCGCAAGCCUGAUGCAGCCAUGCCGCGUGUAUGAAGAAGGCCUUCGGGUUGUAAAGUACUUUCAGCGGGGAGGAAGGGAGUAAAGUUAAUACCUUUGCUCAUUGACGUUACCCGCAGAAGAAGCACCGGCUAACUCCGUG
rnacentral:rRNA from 1 species